rnacentral:pre_miRNA from 8 species
CUUUAAGGUUUAACUUCUCUACUGACAGAGAAGCUUUUUGUUUGUGUUAUGUUUAUUUUCAAAUGUAAGACGAACAAAAAGUUUUUCUGUUAGUAGGCCAAGCUUCCCUAAACAGA